CAACAGGGAUUGCCCUAGUAACGGCGAGUGAAGCGGCAACAGCUCAAAUUUGAAAUCUGGCCUCGGCCCGAGUUGUAAUUUGCAGAGGAUGCUUUUGGUGCGGUGCCUUCCGAGUUCCCUGGAACGGGACGCCACAGAGGGUGAGAGCCCCGUAUGGUCGGACACCAAUCCUGUGUAAAGCUCCUUCGACGAGUCGAGUAGUUUGGGAAUGCUGCUCUAAAUGGGAGGUAAAUCUCUUCUAAAGCUAAAUACCGGCCAGAGACCGAUAGCGCACAAGUAGAGUGAUCGAAAGAUGAAAAGCACCUUGAAAAGGGGGUUAAACAGUACGUGAAAUUGUUGAAAGGGAAGCACUUGUGACCAGACUUGGGCCGGGCGGCUCAUCAGGGGUUCUCCCCUGUGCAUUCCGCCCGGUACAGGCCAGCAUCGGUUCUUACCGGGGGAUAAGAACGGCAGGAACGUGGCUCCCUCUCGGGGGAGUGUUAUAGCCUGCCGUACGAUACCCUGGCGGGGACCGAGGUUCGCGCUUCCGCAAGGAUGCUGGCGUAAUGGUUACUAGUGACCCGUCUUGAAACACGGACCAAGGAGUCGUCCAUUAGAGCGAGCGUUUGGGUGUAAAACCCGCACGCGUAAUGAAAGUGAAAUUAGGUGAGAGCUUCGGCGCAUCAUCGACCGAUCCUGAUGUUCUCGGAUGGAUUUGAGUAAGAGUUUUAACGGACGGACCCGAAAGACAGUGAACUAUGCUUGUAUAGGGUGAAGCCAGAGGAAACUCUGGUGGAGGCUCGCAGCGGUUCUGACGUGCAAAUCGAUCGUCAAAUAUGAGCAUGGGGGCGAAAGACUAAUCG
rnacentral:rRNA from 1 species